GGGCCACAGUUCAGUGGUAGACCAUCUGCCUUGUAUGCAGAAAGCCCCAGGUUUAAUCCUGGGCAUCUCCA